AGAUUGAACGCUGGCGGCAUGCUUUACACAUGCAAGUCGAACGGUAACAGGCCGCAAGGUGCUGACGAGUGGCGAACGGGUGAGUAAUGUAUCGGAACGUGCCCAGUCGUGGGGGAUAACGCAGCGAAAGCUGCGCUAAUACCGCAUACGAUCUAUGGAUGAAAGCGGGGGACCGUAAGGCCUCGCGCGAUUGGAGCGGCCGAUAUCAGAUUAGGUAGUUGGUGGGGUAAAGGCUCACCAAGCCAACGAUCUGUAGCUGGUCUGAGAGGACGACCAGCCACACUGGGACUGAGACACGGCCCAGACUCCUACGGGAGCAGCAGUGGGAAUUUGGACAA
rnacentral:rRNA from 1 species